rnacentral:rRNA from 1 species
CCUACGGGUGGCUGCAGUGAGGAAUCUUGCGCAAUGGGGGAAACCCUGACGCAGCAACGCCGCGUGAGUGAGGAAGGUCUUCGGAUCGUAAAGCUCUGUCGGGUGGAAAGAAAUGUAUGGGGUUAAUAGCCUUCAUACUUGACGGUACCACCAAAGGAAGCACCGGCUAACUCCGUGCCAGCAGCCGCGGUAAUACGGGGGGUGCAAGCGUUGUUCGGAAUUAUUGGGCGUAAAGAGAGGGUAGGGCGCUGGGCUGAACCCAGGAAGUGCAUUUGAAACUGCCUAGCUAGAGUAGGGGAGAGGGAAGUGGAAUUCCUGGUGUAGAGGUGAAAUUCGUAGAUAUCAGGAGGAACACCGGUGGCGAAGGCGACUUCCUGGCCCUAUACUGACGCUGAGACGCGAGAGCGUGGGUAGCAAACAGGAUUAGAUACCCUUGUAGUC